UGGGGAAUUUUGCACAAUGGGCGCAAGCCUGAUGCAGCGACGCCGCGUGAGGGAUGAAGGCCUUCGGGUUGUAAACCUUUUUCGCUCAUGGUCAAGCCGCAGCUUUGGGUUGUGGUGAGGGUAGUGGGUAAAGAAGCGCCGGCUAACUACGUGCCAGCAGCCGCGGUAAUACGUAGGGCGCGAGCGUUGUCCGGAAUUAUUGGGCGUAAAGGGCUUGUAGGCGGUUGGCCGCGUCUGCCGUGAAAUCCUCUGGCUUAACUGGGGGCGUGCGGUGGGUACGGGUUGACUUGAGUGCGGUAGGGGAGACUGGAAUUCCUGGUGUAGCGGUGAAAUGCGUAGAGAUUAGGAGGAACACCGGUGGCGAAAGCGGCUUUUUGGCCUGCAACUGACACUGAGGCGCGAAAGCGUGGGGAGCAAACAGG
rnacentral:rRNA from 1 species